AACGAACGCUGGCGGCAUGCCUAACACAUGCAAGUCGAACGAGACCUUCGGGUCUAGUGGCGCACGGGUGCGUAACGCGUGGGAACCUGCCCUUAGGUUCGGAAUAACUCCCCGAAAGGGGUGCUAAUACCGGAUAAUGUCUUCGGACCAAAGAUUUAUCGCCUUUGGAUGGGCCCGCGUUGGAUUAGCUAGUUGGUAGGGUAAAAGCCUACCAAGGCGACGAUCCAUAGCUGGUCUGAGAGGAUGAUCAGCCACACUGGGACUGAGACACAGCCCAGACUCCUACGGGAGGCAGCAGUGGGGAAUAUUGGACAAUGGGCGAAAGCCUGAUCCAGCAAUGCCGCGUGAGUGAUGAAGGCCUUAGGGCUGUAAAGCUCUUUUACCCGGGAUGAUAAUGACAGUACCGGGAGAAUAAGCUCCGGCUAACUCCGUG
rnacentral:rRNA from 1 species